rnacentral:lncRNA from 1 species
AUGCCAUCCAGACUGAGGAAGACCCGGAAGCUCCGGGGUCACGUGAGCCACGGCCAGGACCGCAUCGGUAAGCACUGCAAGCACCCAGGAGGCUGCGGGAAGGCUGGAUCCAUGCAUCACCGCAGGAUCAACUCUGACAAAUAUCAUCUAGCUUACUUUGGGAAAGUUGGCACUACCACUCAAAGAGGAACCAGAGCUUCUGCCCAACUGUCAACCCGGAUAAAUUGUGGACCUUGGUCAGCGAGCAGACGCGGGUCAAUGCAGCAUAAAACAAAACUGGAGCUGCUCCCAUCAUUGAUGUUGUUCGAUCAGGCUACUACAAAGUUCUGGGCAAGGGAAAGCUCCCUAAGCAACCUGUCAUCGUGAAGGCCAAAUUCUUCAGCAGAAGAGUUGGAGAAG